rnacentral:ncRNA from 1 species
ACUCUGGAGAGUCCCUGACAGACAGGGCGCCGAAGGUGUACGGCAGGAAACUGCCAAUCUCUCAGGCAAAAGGACAGAGCAUU